rnacentral:snoRNA from 1 species
AAGACUAUACUUUCAGGGAUCAUUUCUAUAGUUUCUGACUCGAGAAAUGUGUUUCUAAAGUGAUUAGUCUCGCUAACCACGAUGAUGAGUUCGUGAUAUUCCCUUCUGAGCGUGAAGCGGGCACAGAGUAAUGAUUCAGUUCAUAUGCUCUCCGUCAUUGAGGAUCGUUCUUUGUUUCUUUAUGGAGCUUUGAGGAAGGGAAUAUGAUCAGAGUGGC